GUCAUUGUAGUAUAGUGGUAAGUAUUCUCGCCUGUCAUGCAGGUGACCCGAGUUCGAUCUCUGGCAAUGGUG
rnacentral:tRNA from 1 species